rnacentral:tRNA from 1 species
GGAGAGGUGGCUGAGUGGUCGAAAGCGCGGGUUUGCUAAAUCCGUGAGGAUUAACGUCCUCCGCAGGUUCGAAUCCUGUCCUCUCCG